rnacentral:rRNA from 1 species
GACGAACGCUGGCGGCGUGCUUAACACAUGCAAGUCGAACGCUGAAGCUUGGUGCUUGCACUGGGUGGAUGAGUGGCGAACGGGUGAGUAAUACGUGAGUAACCUGCCCUUGACUCUGGGAUAAGCCUGGGAGACUGGGUCUAAUACUGGAUACGACAUGCCACUGCAUGGUGGUGUGUGGAAAGGGUUUUACUGGUUUUGGAUGGGCUCACGGCCUAUCAGCUUGUUGGUGGGGUAAUGGCCUACCAAGGCGACGACGGGUAGCCGGCCUGAGAGGGUGACCGGCCACACUGGGACUGAGACACGGCCCAGACUCCUACGGGAGGCAGCAGUGGGGAAUAUUGCACAAUGGGCGGAAGCCUGAUGCAGCGACGCCGCGUGAGGGAUGACGGCCUUCGGGUUGUAAACCUCUUUCAGCACGGAAGAAGCGAGAGUGACGGUACGUGCAGAAGAAGCGCCGGCUAACUACGUG